GAUCAUGGCUCAGGAUGAACGCUGGCGGCGUGCCUAACACAUGCAAGUCGAACGAGGUAAAUGAGAUGAAGUUUUCGGAUGGAUUCUUAUUUACCGAGUGGCGGACGGGUGAGUAACGCGUGGGUAACCUGCCUCAUACAGGGGGAUAACGAUUGGAAACGAUUGCUAAUACCGCAUAAGCGCACAGUACCACAUGGUACAGUGUGAAAAACUCCGGUGGUAUGAGAUGGACCCGCGUCUGAUUAGCUAGUUGGUGAGGUAACGGCCCACCAAGGCAACGAUCAGUAGCCGACCUGAGAGGGUGACCGGCCACAUUGGGACUGAGACACGGCCCAGACUCCUACGGGAGGCAGCAGUGGGGGAUAUUGCACAAUGGAGGAAACUCUGAUGCAGCGACGCCGCGUGAGUGAAGAAGUAUUUCGGUAUGUAAAGCUCUAUCAGCAGGGAAGAAAAUGACGGUACCUGACUAAGAAGCCCCGGCUAACUACGUG
rnacentral:rRNA from 1 species